rnacentral:rRNA from 1 species
CACGGGGGGAGCGAACGUUGUUCGGAAUCACUGGGCGUAAAGGGCGUGUAGGCGGUUCGGUAAGUGGAAUGUGAAAUCCCCCGGCUUACCCGGGGAACUGCAUCCCAUACUGCUGGACUUGAGUGCGGGAGAGGAUGGAGGAAUUCCUGGUGUAGCGGUGAAAUGCGUAGAUAAUCAGGAGGAACACCUGUGGCGAAGGCGUCCAUCUGGCCCGCUACUGACGCUGAUGCGCGAAAGCUAGGGGAGCAAACGGG